rnacentral:rRNA from 1 species
AACGAACGCUGGCGGCGCGCCUAACACAUGCAAGUCUCACGAGAAACCCUGUAGCAAUACAGGGCGGUAAAGUGGCGAACGGGUGAGCAAUGCGUGGGUAACCUACCUCCGAGAUUGGGAUAACCCGCCGAAAGGCGGGCUAAUACCGAAUAAGACCACAUGCCGACAGGCACGGGGUAAAAGGUGGCCUAGGGUCCGCAAGGACUAUGCUGCCGCUUGAAGAAGGGCUCACGUCCCANCAGCUUGUUGGUAGGGUAACGGCUUACCAAGGCAAUGACGGGUAGCUGGUCUGAGAGGACGACCAGCCACACUGGCACUGAGACACGGCCCAGACUCCUACGGGAGGCAGCAGUGGGGAAUUGUUCGCAAUGGGCGCAAGCCCGACGACGCAACGCCGCGUGGAGGAUGAAGGUCUUCGGAUUGUAAACUCCUGUUGCCCGGGACGAAUAGCUCCGACCUAACACGUCGGAGUCUGACGGUACCGGGUGAGGAAGCCCCGGCUAACUCUGU